CCUACGGGAGGCAGCAGUAGGGAAUCUUCCACAAUGGACGAAAGUCUGAUGGAGCAACGCCGCGUGAGUGAUGAAGGUUUUCGGAUCGUAAAACUCUGUUGUAAGGGAAGAACAAGUACGAGAGGGAAUGCUCGUACCUUGACGGUACCUUGCGAGAAAGCCACGGCUAACUACGUGCCAGCAGCCGCGGUAAUACGUAGGUGGCAAGCGUUGUCCGGAAUUAUUGGGCGUAAAGCGCGCGCAGGCGGCCUUUUAAGUCUGAUGUGAAAGCCCCCGGCUCAACCGGGGAGGGUCAUUGGAAACUGGAAGGCUUGAGUACAGAAGAGAAGAGUGGAAUUCCAUGUGUAGCGGUGAAAUGCGUAGAGAUGUGGAGGAACACCAGUGGCGAAGGCGACUCUUUGGUCUGUAACUGACGCUGAGGCGCGAAAGCGUGGGGAGCAAACAGGAUUAGAUACCCUGGUAGUCCACGCCGUAAACGAUGAGUGCUAGGUGUUGGGGGGUUUCCGCCCCUCAGUGCUGAAGCUAACGCAUUAAGCACUCCGCCUGGGGAGUACGGCCGCAAGGCUGAAACUCAAAGAGUAGUGCGUGNGAGAGCGACGACGACGACGAGGAGGGAGGAGG
rnacentral:rRNA from 1 species